rnacentral:rRNA from 1 species
AACGAACGCUGGCGGCGUGCCUAACACAUGCAAGUCGAGCGCGAAAAGAGCAAUCUGAGUAGAGCGGCGCACGGGUGCGUAACACGUGGGUAAUCUGCCUCAAGGUCUGGGAUAACCUUCCGCAAGGUUGGCUAAUACCAGUUAAGCUCACGGUGACUUCGGUCGCUGAGAGAAAAGGGGCCCGAAAGGGUCUCGCCAUGAGGUGAGCCCGCGGCCCAUCAGCAGUUGGCGGGGUAACGGCCCACCAAGGCUACGACGGGUAGCUGGUCUGAGAGGACGAUCAGCCACACUGGAACUGAGACACGGUCCAGACUCCUACGGGAGGCAGCAGUGGGGAAUUUUGCACAAUGGGCGAAAGCCUGAUGCAGCAACGCCGCGUGUGUGAUGAAGGUCUUCGGAUCGUAAAGCACUUUCGACCGGACGAACAAGGCUGGCCACACCAGCCCCUCGACGGUACCGGGAGGAAGAAGCACCGGCUAACUCUGUGCC